GCAGCGGUGGCCGCAGUGGUAGGCGCUUCGGUCUCCUAAUCAGUCGCCGUGCGCUGCGCGGGUUCGAAUCCCGUCUCUUGAC
rnacentral:tRNA from 1 species